rfam:Actinoplanes sp. SE50/110, complete genome.
ACCGGUCUCCGGUAGUGGUUCCCAGGCUCACUCCUGGGUACUUCGAUCGAAGACCGGC